AGCAGCAUGGCUCAGUGGAAAGAGCACGGACUUUUUGGAGUCCGAGGUCAUGAGUUCAAAUCCCACCUCUGCCA
rnacentral:tRNA from 1 species